ensembl:lncRNA
GUCAAGUUACUGGUAGCUGAGCGCAAGUUCUAAACCAUUGGCAGGAAAACAAGUUACAAAAACGGAGCUUGAAACAAAUCUCUUGUCCUGAGAUUAAAUACCUACAGUAACCCUUGUUUCUUCGUGUGUCCCCAAUUUUGGUUGCUUAUUAUUUUUUGUUUCUUCGUUUAUCCUCAAGUUCGGAUGUUUUGUGCUUCUUCGCAUAUCAACAGUUGAACAGUGCUUUCAGGUGAUGACGUUUUCUGUAGAUUUUUCCCGGAGGAGGAUGACUUUGUGGCAGCAGUUCCACACCAGGAUGGAGCAAGCACAGUACUCCAAGGUACCAGAGAGGUACUCCACGCCACCAUUUAGAGGAUGGCUACAUAGGGCAAGAAGGCAGAGGUAGGGGGAAGUUUUAGCUCUGCACAUGAAGAACAAUUGGAGAUCAAGCGGCUGACUGAAGAGAAGGUCGAGCUGAGGGCAUAGCUGGCUCUACAAUCAGCUUCUGAUAAACGUCUGACUGAAAAGCCGAGGGCACAGCUGCCUCUACAACCAGGAGCCAUAAGGAAGAAUCUUUCCAACCGGGAUGCCACUGAUGAGGCUGUCCAGAACCAGGUCCCCAGGUACCAGAAAGGGGCAGCUGACCGUGCAGGUGGGAGAUGUCGCAGCGGUACAAGGGACCUGCCGUGAAUAUGAAUGACAUCUCCAGCACAACCAAUAUUGCUGCUAAGCUGCAGUACUGUAGCCUAUUUCUUAUUUAUUUUUACUGCUGCUAUGUACAGUGUUGUAUAUGAUUGCAUUAUCCUCAAUAUAUUUUUAGCUCUGUGUGAAUGUUCUUAAUUCUGACUGUAGUUGUAGUGUUAUGCCACCAUUCAUAAGCUUAUUGCACUGAUGUAUCUGAUAUUCAAUAACUAUUGAUUGCUGCUAGGUCAUACUUAUGUAUAUUACUGCCAUUCUAGCCCUUGAUUAUUUUGUAUUGUAUUAUGUUUAUUUUGUACUUUGUGAUGGCAAUUUCUAAAGUCCGAACUAUUCACGAAAAUGGUAGAUAAGACAGAGGAAAACUCAAUUUGCACAAUAAUCAGUUUAUUCUUGCAAGGAGAGAAUACACAGGUUACAAAGUAACAAUGAAUAAUCUCUAAAGUAAAACAGGACAAGCAUCUUCAUUUAAAGAAGAGUAAAAAGGGGUGUGAUAAUAUGUAUGUCAAUAAAACACAUUCACAUGGUAAUCCUUUUCAACCUUUUAGGAGUCACAAUGUCUGGACACCCAAGGAUAGACCCUAAAAGUGUUAUACAGAUUAACUCAUUUACGAGUAACUAAUCCACUAGUGCCGGUCUCCCUGAGACAAACACCAGACCCCACUCUACCUACAUUCCUUUACUUAUCUAAACAUGGGGACUCAGUCCUUUAAUCAGUAAGAACACAUCAGUGUAAGAAAUUUCCCUGACAAUCCGCCCUAUAUCAUAAAAUGUCAUGUAAUACAAACAUGCUACGUUUAACCAAUCAGACCAUUUACAUCUAUUCAUUAAGCUUCAGACUACUACAAACAAUGCUCCUGAACAACAUGAUCUUUUAUGAUAUCAUCAUCCCAGUAAUUUGGGAACUGGAACAUCUCUGAAACAUCAGAAUCCUCAUUUACAUGCUGCUGGACCAUUACCUGUGUUGCAAACUUAGAAACACACACUUUUAUUAAACAAGACAAAAAUAUACCACAAACAAACAAAAAGGCAAUGGCGGCUAAAGCAGAAGUCAAUAACUUGUAUAUUGUCAUCCCCCAGGGACCAACCAUAUAGGAAAGUCCUGAGAAUGGGUCCCACCCAUGAACUGUAUGAAGCUCUUCUAUUCCUUUAUUAGUUUCUUGGACUAAAUUAAUUACCUAUUGUGAUGCAUCUGAAAUGUAUGUACAACACUCAGAUCCCACCACCUUACAGACACCGCCCUGAGAAGCCAAAAUCAUAUCUAGGGCCAUUCUGUUCUGCAGAGCAACUGAACGGGUUUCGCUCAGCUCCGUGCCUAUUGCCACAAUUGUGUCAGUUGUCAAAUUCAUGUGUUUCUCCAACACUUUGGACAGAGCCAUUAUCUCUUCCUGUGAGGUAUAUGUGCCAUAUCCUGGGAUCAGAACACUAAAUAUACGUUGAGUUCUAGUAAGUGUUUGCUUAUGGCGAAAUUGGGACUGAUAUAAGGCUGCCAUUUCCCUGUGAUCUGC